rnacentral:rRNA from 1 species
CCCCAGACUCCUACGGGAGGCAGCAGUGGGGGAUAUUGCACAAUGGGGGGAACCCUGAUGCAGCGACGCCGCGUGGGUGAAGGAGCGUUUCGGCGCGUAAAGCCCUAUCGGCAGGGAAGAAGGAGGACGGUACCUGACUAAGAAGCCCCGGCUAACUACGUGCCAGCAGCCGCGGGAAUACGUAGGGGGCAAGCGUUAUCCGGAUUUACUGGGUGUAAAGGGGGCGCAGACGGCAGCGCAAGCCAGGAGUGAAAGCCCGGGGCCCAACCCCGGGACUGCUCUUGGAACUGCGCGGCUGGAGUGCAGGAGGGGCAGGCGGAAUUCCUGGUGUAGCGGUGAAAUGCGUAGAUAUAUGGAAGAACACCGGUGGCGAAGGCGGCCGCCCGGACUGUAACUGACGCUGAGGCACGAAAGCGUGGGGAGCAAAUAGGAUUAGAUACCCCGGUA